GACGAACGCUGGCGGCGUGCUUAACACAUGCAAGUCGAACGGGAAGGCCCUUGUUUUGGUGGGUGCUCGAGUAGCGAACGGGGGAGUAACACGUGAGUAACCUGCCCUUCACUUUGGGAUAACUUCUGGUACCUGGGGCUUAUAACGGGUAGAAGCUCCUGCUGCAAGAUGGGAGUUGGAAAGUUUAGGCGGUUGGGGAUGGGCUCGCGGCUUCUCAGGUGGUUGGUGGGGUAGUGGCUUACCAGGGCUUUGGCGGGUAUCCGGCCUGAGAGGGUGCCCGGACACAUUGGGACGGAGAUACGGCCCAGCCCCGUCUGGGACGCAGGAGUGGGGAAGAUUGUACAAGGGGCUGAAGCCUGACGUAGCCAAGCCGCGCGCGGGAAGACGGCAUGCGGGUUGUAUACUGAUGCCGUUUGGGACGAAGCGUGAGUGACGGUAACGGGUAAAGAAGCCCCGGCUAACUACGUG
rnacentral:rRNA from 1 species